UACGUAGGGACCAAGCGUUGUUCGGAUUUACUGGGCGUAAAGGGCGCGUAGGCGGCGCGGUAAGUCACUUGUGAAAUCUCUGAGCUUAACUCAGAACGGCCAAGUGAUACUGCAGUGCUAGAGUGUGGAAGGGGCAAUCGGAAUUCUUGGUGUAGCGGUGAAAUGCGUAGAUAUCAAGAGGAACACCUGAGGUGAAGACGGGUUGCUGGGCCAACACUGACGCUGAGACACGAAAGCGUGGGUAGCAAACAGG
rnacentral:rRNA from 1 species